rnacentral:tRNA from 1 species
GCCUUAUUAGCGCAGUUGGUAGCGCAAUUAAUUAGUAAUUAAUAGGUCGUUGGUUCGAGUCCGACAUAAGGCU